GCUAUUGAUGGAAUGGAAUCAUGAGAGAUUUGGUAUGGCAGUAAUUCAACCUCAGAGGGGCUCGUGAGUUUAUCCUAGACUGCAACAUGUUACUAUCUCUUGAUCUGGGACAAUGGAAUAAGUAGAAAAUGGGAGAGGAUGAUGCUUCUUACACAUUUUUGAGAAGAAAAGACUUCAAAGGCCUCCAUCAGCCUUGACUGCAGCCAACUCUGGAUUUUAAGGUCACAGAGCACUCUUGGCAAAAGAUGAGAUGAAGGAGGCUCAAAGGGUUGAGAGUCCUUUAAGUUCCAUUCUAUUUUAGUGACACAGCAAGAAGAUGGCCAUCUAUGAACCAGGAAGCGAGCCCUCACCAGAGACUAACUCUACUGGCACCUUGGUGUUGGACUUUCCAGUCUCCAGAACUGUGAGAAAUAAAUUUCUGUUGUUCAAGCCACCCAGUCUAUGGUAUUUUGUUAGAGCAGCCUUAACA